rnacentral:rRNA from 1 species
ACGCUCGACACCUACGGGAGGCAGCAGUCGGGAAUAUUGCGCAAUGGAGGAAACUCUGACGCAGUGACGCCGCGUAUGGGAAGAAGGUUUUCGGAUUGUAAACCAUUUUAGACAGGGAAGAAAAAAGACAGUACCUGUAAAAUAAGCUCCGGCUAACUACGUGCCAACAGCCGCGGUAAUCUGAGCGGGCUGGCAAGGC